AGGAGCUGGCUCUCACAGUCAGUAGCUUUCCAGCUUAAGACGACCUCCAUCUCCUUCACUCACAAAACGCUUUCUGCCCCUGCAAAGUGACCAGAUCCCUGGGAAGAGGUCAGGGUUAGCAACUCCAUGGGGACAUCCGGAUCAAGAAGCCAGCAAGCUUCCCCACCUUCUCCUUCUGCCACCUUUACACUUUAGGUUAUACCAUGCUUGGGACAGAUCUGAAUCAUCAAUGCAGAACCCGAAGCAUCCUCACAAGAACAAACUUAGUGUUUUCUUAUGCCAAGAUGGACUGUAUCCGGGCUCCUCCAAAAAUGCAGCUUGGCAUGUCUAUCUCAAACAAAAGAGGCUUGAGUUGCUUCCGCACUGAAGAACAGCUUGUCUACUGAAUUAUUAUUUUCCAUUUGCAUCUGAAGAUUUAUCAAACCUUGAGAAUUUUAGCCAAAACACUUCAGAAGGCAAAUAUGUACUUGCAAAAAGAUGGCGUCAACUAGGGAAGCUUGCCAGGUCAUUGAGAAAAGAAUGAAAAAGGAAGUAAGGGGAAAAAAAAAAAGAAGUCUCAGAUCCAAUUAAGCAUCAUCCAGCUAAAGGAGGAACAGUUAUCCCAAUCCUCAUAUGGGGGGCUAGCCAAUAACAGUAACUCUAUUCACCAAGACUUAACGAGCAGAGAAGACUGGCCAAGAAAUAGCAAAGGCAGCAAAGCAUCCCAGAUGUGCAGUAUUGCAGGCUACAAUCUUUCAAACCACAGGAGACAUUUGUAUAACUGACAGAAUUUUCAUAAUUUGAACCAAGUUAGGCAGCUAAGCAUUUGCCUGCCUUCUGUAAGUACCCAAUCAUUACAAACGGAGCUUUUAGAAACUACAAGAGUUUAGCACCUCCUAUCAAGCCUGAAACAUACACUUAUAGGGGAAAAAUAAUAAAACGUCACUAGUUAUUAAAAUGUCCCUCUUUGUCAAGAGAUUGUUCCUUCAAACUUCUCACCUGACGUGGAAAACAGUUCUACUUCUUGAUGAAUAAAACAUUACAGAGAAACUCUGGGAAAGCACUGCACAAGCUUCAAACCUUUAUAAGGCAAAACAGUUAAUCCCUUGUGUAUUUCACAACAUAUUUACAGCAGCUGUCCCAAUGCUAUAUUUAGUCAUUAAAGCUUUUUCUAAAGGCAAAAC